rnacentral:rRNA from 1 species
GGACGAACGCUGGCGGCGUGCUUAACACAUGCAAGUCGAACGGAAAGGCCCUGCUUUUGUGGGGUGCUCGAGUGGCGGACGGGUGAGUAACACGUGAGUAACCUGCCCUUGACUUUGGGAUAACUUCAGGAAACUGGGGCUAAUACCGGAUAGGAGCUCCUGCUGCAUGGUGGGGGUUGGAAAGUUUCGGCGGUUGGGGAUGGACUCGCGGCUUAUCAGCUUGUUGGUGGGGUAGUGGCUUACCAAGGCUUUGACGGGUAGCCGGCCUGAGAGGGUGACCGGCCACAGUGGGACUGAGAUACGGCCCAGACUCCUACGGGAGGCAGCAGUGGGGAAUAUUGCACAAUGGGCGGAAGCCUGAUGCAGCAACGCCGCGUGCGGGAUGACGGCCUUCGGGUUGUAAACCGCUUUCGCCUGUGACGAAGCGUGAGUGACGGUAAUGGGUAAAGAAGCACCGGCUAACUACGUG